CCUAAUUUCCUCUCAUUUUGAUACACCAAGAAAACUUCUUCAAUUGCAAUUCUUGUAAAAUUCAGUUUCUAAUUACUUAAAAACAAUUCAAUUUAAGGUCCUGAAAAUUAAAUUUCAAAAUUUCAGCACUACAUAACCACCUUUGCACUUGCGUCACAAGGGAUUAGAACAACAGGCAAGAUACAAUUUAGGGAACCCAACCCCACAACUCCCUCAGAUAAUAAAUACACUCAACUUCCAAAUAGAAGCAACUCACUAGAUGAUGGUAGCGGUAAAGCAUCAAUCUUUGCCACUGAUUCUUCGAAAUUUGGAUAACAUGUAGAUGUAAUUCAUUGCAUCUUAAAAUAUUGAGUUCUUGAGAUCACACAACGCUGCCCAUUCAAUGCAUAUUUGAUCAUUAUGUCAAUGCCCCGAGGAUUCUUUUUGUUUGGUGCUACAGUCAUGUUCCCAGUUAGGGCUUCCCUUUCACAUGUAGUUAGCACAUCUUCUAGGUACAGAAAUGUUUGCUUCCAGUGUGUAGCCCGUGAUCUUGGUCCUGUAGAGAAGCCCAUUAACUUGUGACAAUUGGUAAAUGACACAUCAAAGUAGGCUACCAACGCAUGAAUGUAAUCAUCACGAUCUGCCACAAGCUUAAAAGGAACUGUGAAGGAUGCAUCCCCAGAAACCAUUUUAGAGAUAUCCAUAGUCUUGAGUAGCUGGCAGUUUGAGACAAUUUGAUUCUGAUCAACUGUAUCAACAAGAGGUUCCAUCAUGGCUUGCUUCUUGAUACAGCUCAUAUUAAAGCUAUAGACAUUACUCCAAAAUUCAAUCUUAUCUUCUUUGUAGUCUGCAUCCUCGAUGGCUGUCAAAUAGAGGGAAGCUUUGUCAGGUAGAAGAAUUCCAUCACUGACCUGAAAACAAGCAAAGGAUAAGAAAAGUUGACUUAUAUCAAAGAAUUACAACUGAUAACAAUGUUUUGCACAGAGAACAAAGUGAAAAAUGAAUUGUAAGUACAACUCACAAGCCAUUUAUCUCAUGCAUAGAGGAACAAGUUUAACAUAUUCUCAUACAAUAAAAAAUAUCCCAUCAACUCUAAAAUUAUAAUAUCUACUUUAGCAACUGGUAGCUCAAUCUCUUCAAUCUUUCCCUUCAAAACCGUCACAACUGUAAUAAUAAAAAAAAAAUUAGAGAGACCAAUUAAUUUUGCAGGAAUAUUGAAACAAGGUAGAAUUAGCAAAACACCAUAACACAAACACAUUACCUUCUGAAAAUCCAUUUGAUUCAACCAUCUCCAUCGCCAUGUCAGCCAUAUCAGAGCACUCAACCGCAUAAACAUGUGCAGCCCCAGCUUUUGCACAAAAUAGGGAUAGAAUUCCAGUUCCAGCACCAACAUCAAGUAUUAUUUUAUUCUUGAAUAGAAACUUAUUCUGAUAAAUAACAUUUUGAUGUCUUAGUUCUCACUACAUCCUUCAGCAUUUCCUGCAAUGUAAAGAUGGUUAAGUGAAUAUCAAUUGAUAACCAAUUUUAAGUAACAAGGGAAAAUUACAUCACAUAAGAUAAAUCUAUUCCAUGAAUACUCAAGAAAUCCAGAUGUCACAGUUUACAGAGUCAUCUACAUACAACAGAAAUACUACAAGAAAACCUGUCCUCAGCAGAUAAUAUUGAAAUAAUACAUAUGCAUGAAGAUUAAACAAUAAAUUUACACAUACAUUGUAAUGAAGCCAGGAAUUCAUUAGUAAACCCAAUCAUCAUUUGAAAAGCAGUUAUCACAGUGAGUGAGAGUUAGAGAAAGAGAGAGAAGCAUUAAUUUUGGAGUGGUUUCUGUGAGGUACUAAUCGAGAGACCAAUAAAUGCUAAUCUUGCUAGCACAAACCUACAAGUACUUCUGUACUAUGUGUGCAUCACCAUAUUGUAUAUGCAUACUCUCAUAAAAGCUAAUCCCAAUCCGAACUAAGAUCAAAAAGAAAAAAUCCUGUUUGGUAUCCCUUUUGUUUUUGGUUUUUGUUGUCCAAUUAUCAAAGAAAUUUAUAUAAAUAAAAUAUUUUGGUGAUUUAAAAUAGAAAAAUAAAUUUUUGCAACACAUGAAAACCGUAAAAAGUAGUUUUCUUGGUUUUAUCAACUUAUUUUCCAACUUUUUCUUUUCCAAAAUUAGACAACAAAAGCCAAAAACAUAAAACAAAGUAUCAAACAGCUCCUAAAGUAAUAAAAAUUAAACUUACUAGAAUUAAAUUGUAAGCAAUAUAAUAGUUACAAUGAAAUUAUAGAGCCAUUGAGUUAUGCCCUUUCACUUGAUGAAGACUCGCUAUUGAGUUUCCAGGCCAAAAGUUCUCCCUACCAACUAAACAAAUACUUGGAAAUACCGAAGUGUCUUUAUCUGCAAGCAACUAAUCACAACCGAUAUUCCAUGAAUUUUUAGUUGAUUGAUAAUACUUUCUAAUGAUGAACAGAUGGAGUAAUAAUGAAAUUGAAAUUAUUUUUCCCAAUAUGAUCAAUAUAUGUAGCUGUUGGAAUCCCAUGAUUGUAGGAAUUCGGAUUAUUAGGGAUUAAUUGUUUAUAGUUUCCUAUUGUAAUUAGUUUUCUAUUAUACAUAGUUUCUCAUUUAGGUCCGACUUGGUAUAUAAAUAGAAGUUUCGUAAAUCUUUUAAUUAUCAAGAAAUAUGCCCGGUUUUCUCCCAAAAUAUUAGUGUUAGUAUGGUAUCAGAGCAUUUGAUUUAUUAGGGCUAUCUCAUGGGUACUGUUAUGGGCAUGGACCAAUUUUUUGGCAUUUUAACUGUUCAUCACGUGUCAUGCCUCUACCAGCUCUUAUCCUUGACCUGGUUUGCAUUUUUCCUUUUUUGGUGCUUAUUUUUAUUUUCAGUGCAAUUCUCUGUUGUUUAUUGAAGCAUGCCCGAGGAAAAGAAUGUUGUGACUGAAAUAAAAAUGGGCUUUGUACGUGAUUGCCCCUCUUUACAAAUUAGUCUAGUGAAGCUUGAUGGAAUUUAUUAUCUUGCAUGGUUAAGAUCCUGUCUCUUGUUCAUUCAAGUUAGGGGACUAUAGGCGUAUAUUACCCAAAAACCAUAAAUUACUAGUUCUAACUAUAAUGAGUGGGAAUCAGAGAAUUCACUUGAGAUGUCUUGGCUCACCAUGGUACCUCAAUAGAACCAUUGGGUACUGUUCAUGAGUGUGGACCAUUUUUCUAGCAUUUUAACUGUUCAUUGUGUGGCGCGCUUUUAUCCAGCCCUUGUCCUGGACUUGCUUUGCAUUUUUCCUUUUCUGGUGCGUAUUUUUUAUUUUUAGUGCUAUUCUCUCUUGUUUAUUGAAGCAUGAUCGAGGGAAAGGAGGGUGUGACUGGAUUAAAAAUGGGCAUUGUAAGUGAUAAGCUCUCUUUACAAAUCAGUCUAGUAAAUCUUAAUAGAACUAGUUAUCUUGCAUGGUCAAGAUCCUGUUUCUUGUUCAUUCAUGCAAGUGGACUACAGGGGUAUAUUACUAGGGAUAAUCUGAAACUAGAAAUUGUUAGUUCUAACUAUAAUGAGUAGGAAUCAGAGAAAUUACUUGUGAUGUCUUGGCUCACCAUGGGGCCUCAAUGGAACUAUUGGGGACCUAUGGGCUACAGGACUCAGGUCUAUCAUGACAUCCAUCAACGUCAUUGCUCAAUAAUUCCUUGCUAAUUUCAAGAUCUUCAAGUAUUUGCAUGCCUUUCUUGUGCUUUUUAUGAUCACACAAACCAUCAUUUCUUUAGUUUCUCAAAUCUCAAACAAUUUCUUUUUCUUUCCCUUCAAUUUAAUCAAAAUAUUGCACAAGAUUUGUGCAACAUGCUCCCUAUUCAACCCUAUUAAAUUUAAUUUGUUGCGAAACUUUUGCUUAAUCAAUAUUAGGAAUCAUCGUGACAUUUUCUUUCCCAUUAACCUGUUGCAUCUUCUUGUCUUUGAAGUCCAUGAUUUCAACUUGGAUAGAGGUCUUAGCUUGCAUCAAAUAUUGAGGACUAUAGUUUUCGGAACAUAAAUUAUCUUGUAAUAAUGGCAUAAAAUCCUCACUUUUGAAAAAAAAAAAUUUAUUCAUUCAUUCAUUCUCGACCAUGAACAAAUUUUACCAUAUUUCAUUGAAAUUUAAACCACCAAUAAGUUGUUCUCAUCUUUCAAUUUUAAAGAGGCCAAUUUUAUUAUCUGUUCAAAACUGCUUGAUGAAGUCUUAUAGAAAUCACCAUCAAAAUAAGGAAUACCUUCAAAACCAGGAACAUGUCUAUGAAUAAACUGAUUGAGACUGAAAUCUCC
rnacentral:misc_RNA from 1 species